rnacentral:rRNA from 1 species
UUGGAGGGCAAGUCUGGUGCCAGCAGCCGCGGUAAUUCCAGCUCCAAUAGCGUAUAUUAAAGUUGUUGCAGUUAAAAAGCUCGUAGUUGAAUUUCGAGACCGGUCUACUGGUCGUGCUUUUGUACGUACUGGUAUAAUCGGUUUCUCUCUUCUGACAGACUAUAAUGCCAUUAAUUUGGUGUUUUAGGGAAUCAGGACUGUUACUUUGAAAAAAUUAGAGUGUUUAAAGCAGGC